rnacentral:rRNA from 1 species
AACGAACGCUGGCGGCAUGCCUAACACAUGCAAGUCGAACGAUGCUUUCGGGCAUAGUGGCGCACGGGUGCGUAACGCGUGGGAAUCUGCCCUGGGGUUCGGGAUAACAGCGGGAAACUGCUUCUAAUACCGGAUGAUAUCGCGAGAUCAAAGAUUUAUCGCCCUGGGAUGAGCCCGCGUCGGAUUAGGUAGUUGGUGGGGUAAGAGCCUACCAAUCCGACGAUCCGUAGCUGGUCUGAGAGGAUGAGCAGCCACACUGGUACUGAGACACGGCCCAGAAUCCUACGGGAGGGAGGAGUGGGGAAUAUUGGAAAAUGGGGGGAAGGCAGAACCAGCAAGGCCGGGUGAGUGAUGAAGGCAUGAGGGUUGUAAAGCGCUUUUACCCGGGAUGAUAAUGACAGUACCGGAAGAAUAAGCCCCGGCUAACUCCGUG